UUAUUCCCCUACAAUGAACAAGAGUCGGUAUCUCUGCUCAUUCCUGGUUCAUGUUCCAAACAGACCUCAGACUCGGAGAACAGCUACAGCAGCGAAGAACUUGAAAUGUUUCAGGCCGAGGUCACACAUCUUCAGCAGCAAAUGAAAGAGCUGAAGACACUGCUGAAAGAUACAGAGACGAGCAAGAAAACACUUGAAGAAGAGCUUCAGAAGACAGCAGAGAAAGCCACAGCCACGUCAGUGGAGAACGAGGCCCUGAAGACCAAACUCCAGGUGGUUGAGGCCACGCAGGGGCAGACGAGCAGUGCGGAGCAGGAUUACGAAGAGGUCAUCCAACUCCUGGAGGCCGAAAUCAAAGACUUGAAGAACGAACUGGCUGGAAAGCAACGGAGAAAGAGCAAGGAGGCUACAAAGGCUAGCGAUGUUAUCUGUUUUUUUUAUUUACAUGGGCCAUGGUGGCUGCACAUACAAGCAUUUCCCUGAAAAUUAAGGGCUAAAGUCUCCCCCUAUGAAAUAACAUUAAACUGUGAUAAAACAGGCAGCCGUUAAUGUGGUAAAAAAAACUUAUACCACUGAAUGCAACUUUCUUGGGGAAAAUGUCUGCUGCUUAGUGAGAGAUUUUACAUUUUAAUUUGUUUCAGGAGGAUGUUCUUGAACUGAAGAGAAGGCUUUCCGUCAUUGACAGCGAGCUUCGGAAAUCUGAACUCAGUCGGAAACAUCUGGAAAUAUCCAACAAGAAGCUGUUGGGAUUUGCGCAGGUAUACAGUUCUGGCAGCAGGGUCUCGGGAUGGUAAUAUCAAAAACUGCAGUUAAGCAGAAAAAAAUAAAUAUUACUCAUGCAUAACA
rnacentral:lncRNA from 1 species